rnacentral:lncRNA from 1 species
CUUGUCUGUGAAAUGGGUCUUAUACUCAACACUACAUGCCUUACAGGAUGGUAAUGAGAAAAGUGUUUUGUAAACCAUAAAGGGCUUUAGAAAUAUAAGUUAUUAUCAUGACAUUAGUAGGUUAAUAUAUCUUUCACUCCUUCUUAUCCCUUCUUUUUGGAGACAGAGACAGGGAUGUUGUUCUCCCUGAUCCAUGGAGGGCCAGAUCAAAGUGUGAGGAGGAACAGCCACAGAACCCAGAAGUUCUGCCCCCCACCCCCCNNNNNNNNNNGGGGGGGAAUGAUUCUUUUGCCAUUGAGGGAAAAAAUCCCCUUCUCAACACUUUAAAAAAAAAAAAGCCAAGGGACGGGUGGUGUUCCCGAUUCCAUACGGCGCUGUCCGCAGGUCAAGCACAGCUUGGCUCCGAGCAGUCUGCUCCAGUCCGGCCUCCCGGGCCUUGAUCGUUCUUUUCUUCAGUUCUCUCCCUCUUCGCUCUGCUUUUGCACCUCUGCUCGGCUCCCGGCUCUACUGUACCUCUGGGAGGUCACCAGGUCUGGACUAUUUUCCAUCCUGCAACUGCGAGUAUCUGUUCUAAGGCCUCAGGAAAAGUUGGGGGGUAAGGAUGGGGGUUCUCAGCCAAGGCACUUGAGGAGCCCCCAGGAAAGAGAUUUGCGAAAAAGCUGCCUUUGCCCAGUUUCUCCAUCAGCCAGCGGCGAGGUUUGUACAAUCCAGUGACGCAGAAGGGGUGGCCCAGGCAUCCCCUUCUCGGUCCCCGUAGCCUUCGGGAGUUGCCAGCAUCUUUUCCAUUCUCUUCCUAGCCGCAGCCAGCUCAGGGGCCCACCAGGCAGCGGCCCCGCACAAAUUUGGAGCUGUUGCUUACGCCACCACCACUAGGCUCUCUCCAGAUCCUACCCGGAGCUGCCGAAAUGCAAAGCCCCAGGCGCUGCCUCCUCCAGCAGCUUCCUGCUUCAGGUCUCACCCCCGGGGAAAGAGGAAGAGGCGAGAGUAAGAGCAGGCGGAGAAAAGGGGGUGGCGGCGGCCACGGAUUCAGUCUGGGAGUACCCCAGGCAAGAGGUGGGAAGAGAACUUCCUCUCUUAGCUCAAUUGAUGAGCAUGAGAAGAGAAUUUAAAAUGGAGAAGUGGUAGGGGAGCAGGCCAACUUUGGAGAGAAUACCAAAUGAUGAGGUAAGAAGCCAGACUGCAGAGAGUUAAAAGAGUGAGAGGCAGAAAAGUAGAAGCAUUGAUUGUAGGCAGCCUUCUUCUGGAGCUGAGCCAGUAAAGGGAGGAGAGGUAUAGAAUGAUAGCUAGGGGAGAUGAGUGGAUGAAUAGAG